GGUCUAUUAGCUCAGCUAGUUAGAGUGUCGUGCUAAUAAUGCGAAGGUCGCAGGUUCGAGACCGCACAGGUCA
rnacentral:tRNA from 1 species